rnacentral:rRNA from 1 species
CAGGCUUAACACAUGCAAGUCGAGGGGCAGCAUGGUCUUAGCUUGCUAAGGCCGAUGGCGACCGGCGCACGGGUGAGUAACGCGUAUCCAACCUGCCUUACACUCUUGGACAGCCUUCUGAAAGGGAGAUUAAUACAAGAUGUUAUCAUGAGUAAGCAUUUUCGCAUGAUUAAAGGUUUACCGGUGUAAGAUGGGGAUGCGUUCCAUUAGAUAGUAGGCGGGGUAACGGCCCACCUAGUCUUCGAUGGAUAGGGGUUCUGAGAGGAAGGUCCCCCACAUUGGAACUGAGACACGGUCCAAACUCCUACGGGAGGCAGCAGUGAGGAAUAUUGGUCAAUGGACGAGAGUCUGAACCAGCCAAGUAGCGUGAAGGAUGAAGGUUCUAUGGAUUGUAAACUUCUUUUAUACGGGAAUAAACGAAUCCACGUGUGGAUUUUUGCAUGUACCGUAUGAAUAAGGAUCGGCUAACUCCGUGCCAGCAGCCGCGGUAAUACGGAGGAUCCGAGCGUUAUCCGGAUUUAUUGGGUUUAAAGGGAGCGUAGAUGGGUUGUUAAGUCAGUUGUGAAAGUUUGCGGCUCAACCGUAAAAUUGCAAUUGAUACUGGCAGUCUUGAGUACAGUUGAGGUAGGCGGAAUUCGUGGUGUAGCGGUGAAAUGCUUAGAUAUCACGAAGAACUCCGAUUGCGAAGGCAGCUUACUAACCUGUAACUGACAUUGAUGCUCGAAAGUGUGGGUAUCAAACAGGAUUAGAUACCCUGGUAGUCCACACGGUAAACGAUGAAUACUCGCUGUAGGCGAUAUACAGUCUGCGGCCAAGCGAAAGCAUUAAGUAUUCCACCUGGGGAGUACGCCGGCAACGGUGAAACUCAAAGGAAUUGACGGGGGCCCGCACAAGCGGAGGAACAUGUGGUUUAAUUCGAUGAUACGCGAGGAACCUUACCCGGGCUUAAAUUGCAACCGAAUAUGGCGGAAACGCUAUAGCUAGCAAUAGCGGUUGUGAAGGUGCUGCAUGGUUGUCGUCAGCUCGUGCCGUGAGGUGUCGGCUUAAGUGCCAUAACGAGCGCAACCCUUGCCGAUAGUUACUAACAGGUCAUGCUGAGGACUCUGUCGGGACUGCCAUCGUAAGAUGUGAGGAAGGUGGGGAUGACGUCAAAUCAGCACGGCCCUUACGUCCGGGGCUACACACGUGUUACAAUGGGGGGUACAGAGGGCUGCUACCACGCAAGUGGAUGCCAAUCCCAAAAACCUCUCUCAGUUCGGAUUGAAGUCUGCAACCCGACUUCAUGAAGCUGGAUUCGCUAGUAAUCGCGCAUCAGCCACGGCGCGGUGAAUACGUUCCCGGGCCUUGUACACACCGCCCGUCAAGCCAUGGGAGCCGGGGGUACCUGAAGUGCGCAACCGCAAGGAGCGCCCUAGGGUAAAACUGGUGACUGGGGCUAAGACGGAACAAGG